GAGCUGUGCCUGCGCGAGAUAGCUAGCUAGACGCGAGACAAUGUCGUGAUUUCCCUGCGCUCGGCCAUGCAGCGUCUAGCCAAGCGAGCGGAACAUGAAGCGCGUACGAUGACGGGAAGUACAAGUCAUACGACGUCAAGGUGGAAAGCAUGAGAAAGUGACAACACAGAUGAAUUGCUAGGGGCGAAGAGGAGAUGUGGCAAUACCGAUGGAUCACUAGGGCCAUGCGAGUAUUUGCUUCUCCCGUUACAGUGCACAGACACAUUUGCUAGUUAAGCAUAAUAGAAAUAACUUGUCUAUUAUAGUAGGAACAGAAAAAGAGAUACAGUACGUGCGUGGUGCACUAACAGAAAACCAUGCAUGGCCGUGGAUGCCCCUCCGAUCCCGAAGCAUUCAUUGCUUAUUACUUCCUCCAUUCGAAAAUACUUAUCGUCAAAAUGGAUGUAUCUAGUACAAAGUAAAUCAUAACAUAGACGAUGGACUUUGUUUAUUUAGUACGCAUAUAGCGGCAGCCAUAUGCAUGCAUUACUUAUGUGAUCUUUUCUUCGCUGGUGUCGAUGUCGACAUCAGUGGACUUGGCACCCCGAUAGACGCCAUCAUGCAACUGGCGAGGGGGAACUACUUCCCCACUGAGCAGAACAUCCUUCUGCAUGUACGAGAAGGGAACAUCAACGACGUCCUCUCUUGAAAAUAUGCUGCAUGUCACCUUAGUCAUGGGAGGCACAGGAUAUGAGUAUUCUAUGGAGCGCUUAGUUUCUUGUAUCUUGGUUUCACCCCAAUUAUACUCUCCAUGAAAGUCAAGAUGACUUUCAACAUCGCCUUCCAUCAGGAAUGGCAAGCCGGCUGACAACUUGGCCUUGAUACCUACGUCGAGUGUUAACUUGGCAUCCCAGGUACUCUCUAUUCUGUCAUACAGUUCGAUGGUGGUUUGGGCGUUGUGGGUUUCAUGUGUUCUGUUGGUAGCAAGCACAAGGGUCCUGGAGACAUUUUUGUUGGUGCUGGUCUUCUUUCCCCCAACGCGGUACUCGACAUCAUAGAUUUCUCGAGAACGGACCGGUUCUUCAAUCUGGAACGUUGCUUCUUUCGUAUUGCCAUCGUCGGAAGAAGCAUGGAAGUAAUCUAUCUUGUCGUCGAUGGUUACCCUCCUGCAAAAUUUGCCGUUGCCAUGGGAUAGGACUGCAAUGUAGUUGUCAUCCUUGAUGACCACCUUGAACAAACAGUCAACCAUUCCGUAGUCCCUGCUGCCUAUGUCGGCCAUCAUCCAAUUUACAGCAUGGCCACCUUCAAGGCCACGCCUCCAAUACACUUUUGAGGCAACUUGUUUUAUAUAGACGACGCCAUACUCGUCGGUAUAGGUCUCUUGGAUCACAGUUGGAUCUGCAAUAUCAGACGAUGAAAACACCAGAAAGAUAUCAACUGAUGUUUCGUGUGCUGUGAGGUACUUGCCAUUGUCGCCUUUGAAGACAACAUACUUGGGCAGUUCCUUGUCGUGUGACAAGCGACGAACACUGAAGAGACUCAUAUUAGAACUAUCAGCUUCUAGGUUAUCUCUUAGUUGCAAGUAGGCUUUGCCUGGACCAGACACAGAAAGCAUGCAAGCAUACUUCUUUUGCUGGGAAUGAAAGAACCUGUUGUACAGAAAUAAAAAAAUUGUAUUAGAUCAUGCCUUAAUUCCAAGUAAGUUGCAUGCAUGGCAGCCAUUGCCAUCUAUCUAAGUGGAAACUUCAAAGGAAUCCAUACGUUACAAAAAAAAUCAUAUACUAAUGUGCAUGUAAAUUAGAAGUGGUAAAUACGAAGAAAAGGGAGUGGGGAGUUAGAGCAUCUCUACUCGAUCUCUAAAAAUUUAGGCCCUUAUACGGGCGGCCCCUUAUAUCCUAACUCCUUAAUCGGUUAAAUAAUGACGGUUCCAAGCCAAACCCCUAACUUAACUCCAUAUAGCUUCGAAAAUGUUAACGCCCACACGUGUGGGCGUUUGCACCCCUCCAUCACCACUCAUUUUGCCACGUAUGAAUAGAUGACAUCAGCAGAAUUUUUUUUGGUUUCAGCUUAAAAAUGUUGUAUCUCCUAAAUAAAAAAGCGAACUAAAAAUCCGUUUUCACCAUUAAAUCCGUCUCGACGAGAUCUUCAAAACUAGACCCCAUGUUGAUAUGUUUCGACGAAAUUUUUUUUUGCCCAGAAGUUGCCAUGAUGUUUACACUGUAGUUGCCAUAGGGCUUAAACUAAAGUGGCCAUGUGACAAUUUUAGUUUGUAGAUCAUGGCAAUUUUAGUAUUUUGAUGAUGGCAAUUCCAGUACUUUAACCAUGAAAAUUAUUUUUUGUAUAAACCAUGGCAAUUUUACGUGCAUGUAUCAUGGCAAUUUUAGUUUAUGGUUCAUGGCAAGUCUAUUUUCUUAAUUCCCCGUUUUAUAAAUGUCAAAAAUUACUUUUAAAUGUAGAAGAAAAUAGCUGAAACAUAUCAUGGCAAUUUCAGUGUAAAUAUCAUGGCAAUUCAUAUCCAAUAGACAUAGCAACUUUUAAUCCAAAAAAAAAUCAUCAAAACAUAUCAACAUGGGAUCUAGUUUCGAAUAUCUCAUCGCGAGAGAUUUAAUAGUGAAAACGGAUCUUCAAUCGGAUUUUUCGUUUAAAAGAUAAAACAUUUUAAAAACUGAAAAUCCAAAAAGAUUCCUACAUGCAUGCAUGCGAUGACGUGGCAAUCUGUUUGCAUUAGAGACGUGUGGUGCGUCUCCCUUCCUGCCACACGUGUGGCAGUUAGGGGCGUCCUAUAGCUUACAUUUGGCUCAUGCAUUUCGUCAAACACUUGCAAUGCAACACCUCGAUCUUCUCUACGACGUCACUGGUGCGCCUGCAUCGCCACCAUCUGCCUUUGCCAACCUCAUUCCCGGUCAUUGGCAACAUCCCUGACAUGUUCCAUGGAGGCGAGCUGCACCGUGUGCUCAAUCGCCAGUCAGUGUCCUACGGCCCUGUCAUGUCUUCCAUGAAGCUCGACAUGGCAAGCACCGUCGUAUUGUCGUCCCAUGUUGCAGCGCACGAGGCGCUCCACAAGGAGGGUGUCCUCUCCUCCCUGUACGUCCCCGACAACGCCAGUGUAAUGGACCACACCGACAUUUUCAUGGUGAGGGCGUACCUUGGUGAGCACCCUACUCUUCAAAUCCCCAUGGCUCGACGCUAGUCGCGCCAUCCAUGAGCGCAAGCCCGGGAGCUCGUUGAACACUUCCACAUGAGCUUUGUGUUCCCGGUGCAUAUCGCGCUCUCUCUGUUGAGCAUCGUGCUCAAUUUGAUGUCCAUCGCUCUAUGCUCGGAGGCGAGCCAGGGCCGGUGACCAGGCAGGAGUUCAUGGAGUUGAACGCAGACUCUGUUGUGGAGACUCGUCGGCAGGGGGAAGAAGACAAAGGAGAUGGGAGAGAGAGAGAGAUAUAGGAGGCGCGCAAGAGGCAGAGAAAAAACUGAGGGACGGGUGGCGGGAGGAGCCAGGGCGGACGCGCGGAAGGAAAGGGGAGGUGUGGGCUAUACCUGGCCAUACCUCCGGCUGUAGAUGCUCGAAUAAUAUAUAAAAAGGGACUUUUUACGGUACAUCUUACUACCAGAAACAAUGGGUAGUAUAUAAGCGAUCCGAUGGUCAUUAUUAAUCUCAAUUUUUUUCUCUGCAGGACAUUUUGGUAAUUGCCUGUUAGAAGAUUUGUCCUUUCUUGCUGUUAUCAUUGUAAUGAUUAAUAAGUAUUCUAUAUGAGUAAUUGCAAUUGACACCUGAAGAAAAGAAUUAUCCCUCGUCUUAGUUCGUAGGUUGGCCCCUCGUUCUCACACAGUGCGUAAGUUUACCCCUCAUCUCCGUACAGCUCGUCAUUAUUCUGUCGACGCAGGCGCUCCAGCAGCCGACGGGCGCGCAGGGCCGGCCGCUGCGUCUCCCGGCCUGUAGUCGCCACCUCAAGAUAUUCGACGGCGCAGCCGCCCCACGGCCCUUGUUUCGGCUAGUUCCUACCGAGAUCGAUCCAUCGGCCGGCUGCUCGUAGCUGUGUACGUGCAUCUUCAAGCCAGGGGAAGAAUCGAUCAAGGAGCCUACUAGUCUGCUUCGUGUAUACGUCUACCUCUCCGACGGAACCGAUUAGCUCUCUCUCCGUUGUCGAGGUCGAUCGGGCCUGUGCCAACAGCCCUCUCUCCGUGGCACGUUCUUCAGACAGCGCCUUAGAUCGGUUCCUCCGCACGUCGUAGUGGAGAUCCCUCACAUAUAUAGCUGGCCCUGCUGGUGCUCCCAAGACGCCAUAGCUGCGUUUUUCCUAAAUAGAACUACCGAAAUUGUCCCUGAUCACAAAUUAUACUAUCAAAAAUCUGCAGUAGUAUUUUUAAAUCUGGGCUGUCCAAACACAUAAAAUAAACGGCCAAUAUUAGUCUGAUGUACUGUAAAAUGUCUCUAUAAAAACCAGAUAAUGUGCCGAGAAGAAAUACUAUGUCGAAAUCUUAUGAAAGUGUACGGGAUAAUGUAGAGUAGUAUAUAUGUAUACACAUUGCUGAAACAUAACCAUAUUUUGCUGAAACAGCACUAUGAAUUAGGCAGUCAAGAAAAUGGGGAGGGCCAAAUAUAGGGAAGUGACAAGACAGACAGAAGAAGAUAUACUCCAGUGAAGAGUACCUGGCGGUGCGUUUGGUGGUAGAGUCAGGCCUGAAGUCGAACAAGGUGCAGGACGGCUUGGUCAGGUCCUCCUCCGGUUCAUCUGCGGUGGCACAGAUGAACCAGGUACUGCCGCCGCCGCCGGGCGCGCGUAGCUGCUGGGCGACCCAGUAUUUGUCGCCGUCGGAGCAUCUGACGUGCAGGAGCCCGUCGUGUUUCUUGGACGGCUCCAGGUAGAACUUCUCGGCUGGGGUGGUGGCGCGGAGGACGACGUAGCUUAGCUCGAUGUAAGUGGCGGCCGUUGCUUGGUCAUAGACGGAGCGCAGGCACCCCGGACGAGACGGAUCCCCCAAGGUAGCGCACACCGGAGGGCCCGAGAGAGGAAAUACCACGGGCGGUAGCACCACUGAAGGAUCAGCCAUCCAGGGGCCUGCAUUUCUCCAGAUACUCCUAUCCAUAGUAUUUCUCGCGUGCCGUGCGCUUGUGAAUUUUCAAGCUGGGGUGCUCAGACUAGCAGCCUGGCUAGGUAUUUUAUAGCAGGAGCUAGCCCCAUCGCCCGGGACCAUUAGCGCAAAUAUAUUUUUCGAUAAAGGGCGGUUUUAUUAGAGCAAAAAUAUAUAUGGACCCUAAUAAGUGUUACAUGUGUGGCACGAAUACAUUACAUUUUUAAAUGUUUUUUAUGACAAAUUUAGUGACGUGAGGAUGGCAAAUAUGAUUUUUUUAAAUGUCAACUUUAACUGUAAAAAACAAACAUAGAAUGCUUCAUGUCACACGUGUGUCACUUAUCAUUUGGGAUAUAUAUUAAGAGGCUUAGACUAUCCAUAGUCUAAUUCGCAUCACGGGCUGCACCGACCGCUACUUUCGAUCGCGUGCGCUAUAUAGCAGUUUUAUCUAGCGUGCGGCUUAUUUAGGGCAUCCGUUGAAGAUGCUCUGACCCCGCAAAUCAAGUGCGUUCAAUUCGCGUCACGGGGUAGUACACAAGUUUUAGAUUCUUGCAACAUUGAAGCGACGUUGGGCCACUCCUGAUUUAAUCUUUCAGAUCUGGAUCUUGGCCUUGUCCUUCCUAGCGGCCGGUAGGCAAACAAAACGUGGCAGCGUUUUUGUUUGUGGCAAUCAUUUGUGGUCACUGCCUCGCCUGGCCAACUUUGUCCACGGCAGACUCAAACAAAUGCCGGACAGAUGCUCCCGCGUUACUCGUGUCCGAUCGACCAGCUAGGCUCAAAUUCACAUGCUCUUUUUUGAAGCUUUUCUCUCAUCAAUUUGGGCAGCAAGACGUAAGGACAUUCACCAAAGUAGUAUAUUUCAGAGUGUUUUUUUUAGAAAAGGAGGAUGUACCUCCGGGGCCUCCGCAUAUGUACGAUGCAUGCAGCUAGACCUGUAGCGCGCCUCGGCGUGCGGUGCCGGGUAUUGCCGAUUGUGCCUAAGUGUGCAUGCCCGGCAUACUGUAAUUGUAAUUUUGCGGUAAGCUUAGCAUGUUUUUUUUAGCACGCCCAUGAUAAAGCACAAGUAUUUAGCUUAUUCAAGAGCAAUUAGGGCAUAAAGUUCAGUGUUAAAGAGUAGCAAAAGUGACCAAAGUGACAGCGGGAUAAAUACAGAGCAAGCAACACAAUUAGAAACCAGAGACAACGCUAACACAGAAUGCUUUAAGUACGGGAUUUUCAUACAAAGCAAUUAAGGUCUGAGAGAACAUCCAUCAGUUUUGAUGCAACAUGAUAUUCAGAGCAAGGCAUUCGUACAGAAGGUGAAUGGUCGAAGAGAAAUUAACUGAAACGGCUUGGUAGCUAGUGGUAUAAUACAUAGUUGGGCAGUAGCAUCGCCGAAGCAAGUGGUUCAUAAAACACUGGUUUGUAGUACUGAUUACAAAUAACGUACAAUAAGGCUGGACAGGUGCACACUGUACUAAUUCAGAACACUCUUGUUGCACUGAAUAAGGCUGGACUGCAGCAAUCAUGCGUCGUGAUUCAGAGACAGUCAAGCAAAGUAUGAUACUUGAGCAAAGCUUGCUGAUAAACCAAAAGGGCCUGGAUUUCUUCCUGUGCCCGAAGCAUCAAACAUUCUCGUCGUAGAGAAAGUCUUCAACAUCGAAGCGGCUUGCACCACUCGUCCUCAAUAUAAUGUACAUGAAGCAACAUAUAGGUUAGGCACAAGUAGUUGUAUGUACAGGAAUAUCACAAUGUGCGCUCAGUCAUAUCACAAUGUAUAACAGUAGUUGUAUGUACAGGAAGCAACAUAUAGGUUAGGCUCAAGUAGUUCUACCAAGGCAUACUAUUAGUACUAGAUAGACUGGUUCGAUUGGCUUGUCAAGGAGCUUUUUUAUGAAUAAUACGAUUAUGCUAAUAUAACAUUUUGAGAGUUAUUUAUCCAAAACCACCACACUUGGGGCUAUGGUAACAACUUGGUACCAGAUUUGCGCCAGGGCACAAAAAACCACCGAAAUUGUGCCUAACAUGUAACGCGGAGCACUGAUGCUGGGAUUUGGUCGCGAAAACAGCCAAACCGACAAGUAGGGCCCGCCUGUCGGGCUGACGUGGCGAAGACCAAAAAAUUUGACCAACUGAUGUGGCAAAUGAGGCGUGGGCCCUACCUGUCAAUGACUAGAGAGUCAUCUUCUUCACAACAUUUUUUCUAUGGAGCAUUCCAACGAACACCUUGUCUGCGUUCAUCCUCUAGCCAUUGAAGAAGGCACAAUACGCCAUGGCCACGCCGGAGCAGCGACCAGAGGAACGGCGAGUCGGACUUCUCCAUCCCGUCCGCAGGCUCACGCAGCUCUUCCUAUCCUCCUACCAAUUACCAAGGUGGUGGCCACCUUGCCGAAGCUUUCAUACGACGGCGACGUGGACAAGGUGCCGGGCAAGCCAAGUUGUGGCUGCGUGGGAAGGGACGAGUGGCUCACCUUGAGCACGUAUGAGUGCUCGGACACGCCGACGCCAUGAAUGAGCACACCUGCGUGAAGAAGAAGGCGAGGUCAUGCUCGUCGUCGUCCAUGGAGGCCGCCCGUCGCGCUGCCCGACGCAGUCGCCCUACCCAGGCAGCGCGGGAGCUGCGCGUCCUUGCUGGCCCUGCCCGCAGGCCAGCACGCCGACGGCAAGCGUGAUGUGGCCCUGGGCUAGCUCGAGCAGGGCUCGGCUACUGUGGCCAUGGUGGCCAUGGAGCUCUCGGCUCGGCCGUCCAUGCCGGCGGGGGCGGCGGCGGGAUUCGAGGGUUGGUGACGUGUAGGGAAGAGGCUGAGGCAGCCUGGGGCAAGCUUGAGCAGGGGCUCGGCUUCCAUGGCUAUGGAGCUCUCGGCUCGCAUGGGGUAGAGAUGCUCGGACAAGCCGCUCGAUGCAAUGCUCCAAAGAAAUAAAGAUGAACACGUAGUCAAUGACAGGCGGGACCCGCAUGUCAUCUGCCACCUCACCUAGUCAACACUUUUUUUAUGUGCUUGGUCUUCGCCACGUCAGCCCAACAGGCGGGCCCUACUUAUCAGUUUGGUUGUUUUCGCGACCAAAUCCCAGCAUCAGUGCUCCGUGUUACAUGUUAGGCAUAAUUUCGGUGGUUUCUUGUGCCCUGGCACAAAUCUGGUACCAAGUUGUUACCCUAGCCCCAAGUGUGGUGGUUUUGGGUAAAUAACUCACAUUUUGAUGACAACACACAACCGAGUGUGUAAACACAAACAAAAUAGUGUUCUACAUUACUAAAAUGUGUACUGUAACACCAGCUAUCAAUAAGCAAACUAAACAUCAUAUCAGGUAAAACAAAUAUAGAGCUCACCAACUCAGCAACCAUCAUUAGAAGAGAUUCAUGUCUCGCAACUCAGGAAAAUACAAUGAAAUUUUUUUGUGCACUGAUGAACUUGCUUGAGAUACAGAAUGGUUGGCACAACUGUGACAUCAAAAUAGUAACAAUUAAAACUUAAAAGUCCAGCUUAAUUUAAAAUAUCUAAACAGGUAAAAUAAGAAAUAAAGGCCCUGUACAACAAAUGAAAUUAGUUCUCUUAUUCGUGAUAGGUGAUCUGAAUCUAAAAGUAGUGUUGAGAUUCACGAACCAACCGAAACUAAAUAACAACCUACUAUGUCUUAAAAGCAUAGUCUAAUAACCGAACUCCCGAUUAUCAACAUCAAAGAAAUCAUGAGCUAUUCCAACAUUCCAUGGCUAUUUUUAGAGUUGACAACAUUUCCAGUUUGUUAGACCCUCGAUAUGGCUAUAGCAGCGAGCAUAUUGUACUAACGGGAUAGUUUACUGUUGUGACUAAUGUGAUAACUGAUUGUUAAUGGGACAAUAUUUUGAAGGAUAGCAUUCCCAUUAUUUUGUAAUGGGAGUGGCAUUGCCACUUUGUUUUUGAGCAUCUUUAUUAUUACUUGACUGGAAAGCGAAAGAUUGUGUGCAUUAUUGUUCCACAUGCUCGACUGCAACUCCGACAUUUUUUUGAGCCUCGAUUUGGUGAUGAAGGCAUUACCAAAAAGAUCACAAGAUAAGCGAACCAAUUAAAGUCUCAAUAUGCAAACAUGCAACCUCAACAUGCAACCAUGUAUGAGAAAAGGCCACCUCAACAUGCAACCAUGUAUGUCAAAAGAUUUUCCAUUCUUCUAUGCUACUUGUAUCCAAAUAAAUAUUUUACAACUAUAUAAUAAUCAAAUACAAUACAUCAUUUCUAUUUUCAGUUUCAAUCCAAUAUUAUUAAGCCAAAUACUCAUGUUUGAUACAACCAAACCUCAUUGAAACAUAUUGCAACCAGUACCCGCAUCAAUAUGCGGGUUAUCAUCCAGUUAUUAGGCUGGUCGUAAUGGUAGUAUCAUAAGUAGUACUCCCUCCGUUUCUUUUUACUCCGCAUAUAAGAUUUGGUCAAAGUCAAACUAGACAAAGUUUGACCAAAUUUAUAUAAAAAAUUAUGAACAUCUACAAUAUUAAAACUAUAUAGUAUGAAAAUACAUUUUGUGGUGCAUCUGAUAAUAUUGAUUUCAUAUUGUUAAUGUUUAUAUUUUUUAAUGUAAAAUUAGUCAAACUUUAUAAAGUUUGACUUUGACCAAACCUUAUAUGCAGACUAAAAAGAAACGGAGGGAGUAUCAUGCAUGCCAACUAGGCAAUUUUAAUGAGGUGUCAUAGCAUUAAAUGAAGAAAGAGAGGGUGUAGUAUCAUAUCAUGAUACUGUAUCAUAUUAAAUGCUAAGAUAUCUUGUAUCAUGCAUGGCAAUAAAUAGAGUACUACAUGAUACUAAUAUAUGAUACUAUGCAUUAGGAACGUAGUAUCAUAUACUAGUAUCAUAUGCAUGAUACUAGUAUAUGAUACUCCCCAUUACAUCAGCCUUAUCAAUGUGAGACACAAUUGGCACAGGCAGCCAGGCUCCCCCUUUUCUUCAUUUAUGCACUCAUUUCCUAUCAUAUCUUCACCUUCUGUGCAACAAUGAAUGAGUUGAACACCUCAUCACCUGCAGGGUGGUGCACGGCCAGCACUUGGAACCCGCCACGCCCGAUAUCGUCCAGCUCCACUACAGGAUAGAGGAACGCUCGCGCCCCGUGCGCGCUUCGCGCGACGAGCACCGCCCCAUCUGCCAUGUGCUUCCCCAAGUGCGCGAUGGUGUUGGCCUUCUCCUCGGACGUCAUCCCCACGAGCGCCGCCAGGAAAACCACGUCGUACGCGCCGAGCUCAGACGUGAGGUCCGCGACUUCGGCCGUGUGGAACGGCAUGCGCGAGCGCACGUCCACAUCCGCCGCGCCGACCAGCUUCAUCGCCCGGCCAUUGGCCACGCUGCACCGGUCGUAGUUGUCGAAGCGGGUGUCCGGCAGGUGGUAUGUCGCGAGGAAGAGCGAGCUGAACGGCAGCGGCCCUGACCCGAUGAACGCCACGCGGGCCGGAGCCGCCAUGUGACCGGCCAGAAGGUCGUUCUCGAGCUUGCUCAGGUUGAUGUAGUUGUCAAAGUAAGGGAAGCGGCCGAGGUGGUCGAGCGGGCUGUCCAAGGCGGUGAGCAUGUCGGAGUAGUGCGCCUCGAGCAGCCCCUCGGCGGUUGAGCACAGGCGGAUGAGGUCCUGCCGCAUCUCCUGCGCCUCCGGGCCGAGCUUGGUCACGUCCACCGGGCUCGACGGGACGCACGCCGCGACCAGCUCGGUGAAGAGCGCGUCGACUUGAGGGGACGGGCUUAGCGACGGGAGCUUGGAGAUGGCGGCGUGGAAGCCGGUGAUCUUCUCGACCAGAGCAGCCACCUCGCUGUUUUCGGCCUCCAUGUCACUUGAUUGCCAAGUAGGUAUGGCUGGUGUUGUAGUGCUGUUCUGAAAAACAAAUGUAGGCUGUAGUGCUAUGAUGGAGCUGAUGCUUGAUACAAUAUGAAGGGAAAAAAAUCAAUGGAAUUGCAAUUGAUUGAGCAGUUUGAUGAGCUGUGGAGGGUGAGGGGUCGUAUGUAGCAUGGAAAUCGUAUGCGAGGCGCGCUUCAUGCUUGCACAGACGUGACGGCCUGUUUCGCGCCUCUAAUUUCCGACAUGCGUCAUUGCAUCUUGCUGACAAGCUCAUGAUUUGGUAGCUAGCUUGACAAUAUACCUAAUAAAUUUGGAGUGGGGGGAUAGGCCGAUAGGUGGAUAAAUUUAGUCUCUGGCAUGUGCCUACGAGCCAACCUCUGUUGAAUAUUCACUCGGAUCUGAAGAAAAAUGGCAGAAUAGAGUUGUUCUUUACUGAAUAAAUUAGGAUCUUUCUCUACCAAAUUAGAGCGCACAGUCAUUCUUCUAUUGAUGUUCCCAGAAAUUCAGUUCACCAGGGAACACCUUAAGUUGAAUGUGAUUUUAUUUUGUCUAAAUCAGUACUCAAUAUAGAGACAGUGGACGGUGGGAAACCGACUGAACUGGCGAUGCGGGCACUGAAAAAGCUUCAGUAGCACAGUAGCACUGGCCUUACCCGUAGCAGCCGGCCGGCCGGCGUCUGCUCCCGCUCCCGCUCCACCGCUAGUCCCCCUUCAGCCGUUCGCGGCCGCACGAAUAUCUCUCCGUCGUGGGGGGAGGACGGCGACCUUCUCGGGCCCCCGAAGCGGAGGAGGGCACCGGCUGCGUCGCGGCGGGAUGACGCCGCCGUCUGCAGCGGGGAGGCGAAGGCAGGGAUGACGGUGCGGGGAGGCGGCCGGGAUCAGCUCCGUCGCGCUGCAGGUGGUGGCCGGAUUUCAGAUCGGGAGCGCUUCUUUGGCUGGAGGUUGGAGAGAGGAAUGGGGGAGAGGAGAAACCGAGCUUGACCAAAGGCGCAUAUCGUCAGUAUGAUUUUUCUUUUGAUCGACGGAAUAUUAUUAUUCCAGGAGUUGGGCUGGAUUAUUCUAUAAAGGAGUUGGGCUGGAUGGGCUAGGCUAUGGUACCAACUUACAUGUGUGAUUGACAGCCUGCACGAUGCAGCCACCCUUGAGGCGUUAGCAUGCCGUGAAGCUUUUGCGCUGGCGGAAGACCUGUCAAUCCAUGAUUUUGUCAUCGCCUCAGAUGCGAAGCAAGUUGUUGAUGAUAUAAACAAGAGAAGCAGAGGCAGCUACGGUUCGAUCGUCACUGAAAUCAAUGCUAGGUCUGAAAUGUAUAAUUGUAGAAUCACUUAUGAGGGACGUUUAUCAAAUAAUGAUGCUCAUAAUUUAGCUAGAUUUUCUGUUAGAUUAUCUCAGGGGCGCCAUUUGUGGCUUUUGCAACCCCAUGAUGCUUCCUGUAUCCCACAUAAUGUGGUAUUCGAUGAUGAAUAAAGCGAUUUACCACCCCUCAAAAAAAAAUCUCUUAUUUCUUUCUUCUACCAACAGACAGGUGGGGUCCACAAGGUAAAAGUGGACGUGGGUUGUCAAUGCCGUGGUAAGCGCCACGUGGCCAAUUUGGUCGAUGAACAGAGUACCACGUAGACUAUAUGACUGGUGAACAAAGCGCCACGUGGCCAAUUUGACCGAUCAGUAGAGUGCCACGUAAAGUAUCUACGUGGUUAACAGAGUGUAAUACGAUGCUCUACGGUGAGCCAGUGCUCGUAUACUUACCCCAAAACGUAUAUAAUGACCGAAACUAGCGUAUUCUGAAGUCCAGUGACCGUAUCAUGUUUUCGCUUCAAAUAUAGUGGCCAGCAGUGUAUUUAUGUCAUUACAAUACUAUCAUGCCAUUUAGCAUUUGCAUUGAGUACUUAUUUUUUAAAACUUACCAUUUCCUUCAAUUCCUCUUGAAAUUGAUACUUUUAUUUUAUUUUUAAAGAUCUAUAAUUGACCUCGUACACUUGUCCGGUAGUGGGAUAGUGGGUGUGUUUUAGUCCUAUUAUUUAAGCUCAUGUGCGUGAGAAGAAAUACAAGAAACGACACAAGAUGUGUGCGUGCCAUGACUCUGUGUGUGUUCUUCUACCUCUUGUGUGCGUGUGUUUUUCUUUCUUCUCCUGGGCAAACCCCACAGUGGAUUAAUUAGGCGCCACAUUUAAUCUUAGUUGUGCCUUUAUCUGCUUAUUAUGCGCAAAUGAUGUCACACCAAAUGGGCCGUGUGUGAGAUUUCAUUUUCAAAUUGUGAAACUGCUAGUUGGGAACCAUUCAACUCCACGAAUAGGGAAUACCCCGAACUUGUAUAUGGAGCCGACAUGUAUUCGGAAUCCAAUGAUAAAUACAUUCUAGAUAUAAUUUAAAUGCAAUCUUCAGAUACAUAUACAGGGAUCAAAGUUUUUUUUCCCUUCUAUUAAGAAAUAUAGGAUCCUGAUUCGAACAAGAAUAUGGCAGUCCACACCACUACAAGUUGAGAAAAAGAUAGUAAGACCAUAUAUUAAUCAAGUAAAUAAAAUACAUUCGUAUCACAAGUGCAAUAUAAGCUCCUCGCCAAUAAAAGUGCAAUAUAAGUUCGUACAUCAAUUACACAUGCUUAACAUAUAAUCAUAGCAGAAAGGAAGGACCUUAUUUAUUUAGUACGUACAUAUAACAAUCGGCACUUGCAUGUAUGCAUACAUUGACUAUUUAUGCGAUACUUUCUUCAGUGAUGUCAAUGUCGAUAUCAGAGGACUUGGUACCUUGAUAGAUGCCAUCAUGUAACUGACGGAUAACUAUGUUGCCACUGUACAUAACAUCCUUCUGCUUGUAUGAGAAGGGAACAUCAACAACAUCUUCUCUUGUGAAUAUGCUACAUAACACUUUAGUCAUUGGAGGCACAGGAUAUGAGUAUUCAUACAUGCGCUUAGUUUCUUGUAUCUUGGUUUCUCCCCAAUUAUACUCUCCAUGAAAGUCCAGAUGGCUUUCAGCUCCACCUUCCAUUAUAAAUGGCAAGCUAGCUGAGAUGUGGGCUUUGAUACCUGCGUCGAGUGUUAAAUUCGCAUCCCAUUUACUCUCUGUUCUGUCAUAUAGUUCAAUAGUAGGUUUGCCUUGGUGGGUCUCAUGUGUUCUAUUGUUAGAAAGCACCUCUGUCCUGGAGACAUUUUGGUUAGUGCUAGUCUUCUUUCCACCGACAUUGUACUCAACAUCAUAUAUCUCUCGAGACUUAACCGGUUCUUCAAUCUGGAGCAUUACUCCCGAGGAGUUGAUAUCAGUACCAGAAGCAACGAGGAUAUUAGAAUAGAUUAUAGUCGGAUCGGUCACACUCUCACAGAAUUUUCCAUUGCCGAGGUUUUGGAGUGCAAUGAUGUUCCCAUCAUUUGAGACCACCUUGAACAAUGUGUUAACAUCGUUGUAAAUGGCAUCAUGUGGUAUGAACGCGCUGAAAUAAAAGCCAGGGUCAUUUAUAGUGCCAAUCGUCCCAUUGAGGAGACUACGGACGCCACAUGUCCAAAACCUGCCUGAGGUGUUGUUUCUUAUGCGGACAAUACCGUAGUCGUCGGUGAACGUCUCAUGGAUCACAUCUGGAUCUGUGAUAUCAGAUGAUGAAAACUGCUGAACCCAAUCAUCACCAUCAGUAUUUACAGAAAACGAAUUCCGGUUCUUUUCUGUGAGGUACUUGCCAUUGUUGCCUUUAAAAGCGACAUAUUUGGGCAAUUCCUUCUGUUGCGACAAGCGAUGAACACUCAAGAGAUCUGUUACUCCUAGUUGCAGGUAGGCUUUGUUGCCUGGAAUAAAACAUAAGUCCCCAGAGACAGAAACCCAGCCAACAUAUUUAUUUUGCUGAGAAUGAAAGCACCUUGUUGUACAAAAAUAAUUAACAACAUCAGAUGAGAAAUUUUAAUAUGGUCCCUAAGAGGAUAAUUUAAUCCUAGCUGUUGAUUGACCGAGGGUAAUUUUGACAAAAUAAAUAUGGUAAUUACAACAAAAUAAAUAGGAAAUAUUCUUGAUGGGUUUGGUGAUCUGUCUUUUGAUGAAGACAUUUUCUCUCUGCCAAAAAAAUGCGAAUCCAAUGCUAUACUUCUUAUGGUAUGCUACUAAUUCAUUGGCGAUGGAAAUUUGGCGUUGUAAUGUUCCUCCAAAGGUCCAGUCAUUUGCAUGGCGACUAGCUACUAAUUCAUUGGCGACAUGGACGAACAAAGUGAAACGAAAUCUGGAAGUAUUGGCAAUGUGUCCAGUAUGUGGGCGCGAAGAAGAGGACUCUUUUCAUGUUUUCUUUGGAUGCAAUCACGCUGUUUGGCUAUGGGAAGCCAUGUCCUCUCAGUGGGCUCUGCCGAAGCGAACGAACAUCAAGCACACUGGUAUAGACUGGUUAUUUCAUCUCCUAGCAGGUACUGAUGAGGAGACUCGCAGCAGGUUGCUGAUGCUUUUCUGGAGAACUUGGUACCUAAGGAAUGAGAUUGUUCACUCAAAGCCAUUGCCUCCAAUUGAUGUCUCUGUCAGAUUUUUGGUAAGUUAUUACUUUGCAUCGUUGCAGGCUAUACACUUGGAUCCACAAGCUGACUCCUUGAAGGGAAAGGAGGUGUUAGCUCCAAGCCAUCAACGCAAGCAACUUGCUUGUGAUAAUGUUCAUAUAGUGAAUGUCAGCUCGUGGACAAAACCGAUUGAGGGCAGAGUAAAACUUAACACAGAUGGCUCAUAUUUGGAAGGUAAAGGGGGUACAGGCAUGAUCCUCAGGGACGCUGAUGGCUUAAUCAUUUUCAGCGCAUGCAGACAUUUGUACACAUGCACUGAUGCUUUAGAAGCGGAAUUACUAGCGAUAAAAGAGGGAAUUUCCUUGGCACUACAAUGGAGUAAUUUAUCCAUUGAUGUUGAGUCUGAUUGUUUGGAGGCUAUCUUGAUGAUCAAAGAAGGAGCAGGCAACAAAUCGAAGCAUGCUUUUAUCAUUAAGGAGAUUAUUGAUACUAUGGGGGAACGUACUUUUUGUAUUACUCACACUCGUCGGAACUGUAAUAAUGCUAGUCAUUUCAUGGCUAAUUUUGGUAGGUUGAAAGGCCGAACCGCGGUUUGGCUAGGCUCUGGUCUAGAAGAGCUCCCGGAAAUUGUGGGACGAGAUUGUAAGACCGAACUUUUUAUCUCUGCCUUUUUAUCAACCGGUUUGGAUUGGCAAAGAGAGGUGAUUGGUUAGUGAUUGUUAUGAGUCAUCAACAGAUAUCAGUGACCACUCGAGCCUUUUUAUCUCUGCCCUUAGUUGCAUUUAUUACUACUGAUGACGACAUAAGUCGCCCCUGGCGUGACUAGACUUGGGUGUGUUUGGUUGGGCUCCAGUUUGGCAUUGGCGCAUAUAAGCUCGGACCUAGCCAAACAAGAGGCGUAUAUUUGGUGUGAGCGAAAUGCUAGGGUGUUCCAACAUAAAUCGACACUCCCAUCCAUCAUCCUUUGCAACAUCAAGAAUGAGGCUAGGCUUUGGAUCACCGCCGGCGGGAAGCACUUGGGAAACAUCAUGCCGCGAGAGUAGAAGUUGUACACUUUAUCUUAGCUUUUGUGUUGUAAAAGCAACUCUAGAACUUCUUAAUUAAUGGAUGAGGCAAAUCUUUUGCCUCCAUUUCGAAAAAAAAGAGGCGUAUAUUUGCCUUUAUUCGAAACGCUGGAGUUAUAAUCCGUAGAAGGGAAGGCACGUCCUAAGGUUCUUUCGAGGUAUAUUUUCAAUCCCACGACUAUCCUACUCCUGCUGCUUGAAAGAAACUUCCAGAACACUGAUUGCAAAAUGUCCAAACAUAGAACGCAAUCACUGGGAGGAGUUCUUUGCUCAGAGGAGGAGUGAAGAGUUCCUGGAGAAGAGUCACCGGGGAAAGGAGCUACAGUAAAGGAACACAUAUGGCUACCAAGGUUUUUUUUUUUUUGGAAAAGGGGAUAUACCCCAGCCUCUGCAUCAGGAAGAUGCAUACGGCUCAUAUUAUUAAAGUCAAAGUACAGCAACACAGUCUCGAAAGGUCGUAGUACCAACAAAUACAAAAGACUCAAAAUAGGUAAGGCCCAAAGCCACAACCGGCUGGCAAAACAAUAGGAUCACUACAUGCCUAUCCUAUUACAUGACCGCCAUCCAAACCGGUUGAAAAUAUCCCGAGCUACCAUCUCCCAUCGGGUAGACGCAGUAACCAAACGCUCCCUGGCCACCGUCGGAGUGAGUAGCGACCACAUACGGAUGAACGCCGUGGCCCUGAAGAUAACCUGCAAAAAGUGAAUGGUUGAUGAUCUGUUAAAGACUAAAUCAUUCCUGCAGUUUCAUAUUGCCCAUAAUAAUGCACAAACGCCAACCCGAAUGUGUCUUGCAGUGUCAGCAUCCACCCCAUCAAGCCAUGUGCCAAAUAACAUGCUGAUUGAGGUGGGCUGAUUAAUAUUAAACGCAAUAUGGACCGACCGCCACAAAAUCUUAGCCAACGGACAAUCGAGAAAGAGAUGUUUGAUGCUUUCGUUCUGAUCACAAAAGCUACAUCUAGACGAUCCCACCCAAUUUCGUUUUGCAAGGUUAUCCUUAGUCAAAAUGACUUGUUUAUGCACAAACCACAUAAACACUUUGAUACGUAAGGGUACCUUAACCUUCCAAACAUGAAACGAAGUAGGGAUAGCGCUAGAGUUAAUGACAUCCAGAUACAUUGAUUUGACCGAGAACAAACCGUUCUUAGUAAGUUUCCAAUGCAACUGAUCUGGCUGCUGAGACAGCCGGAUUUCCAUCAACCGACUAACAAGAUGCAGCCAGGCCUCCCAACGAUUUCCAACAAGCGUCCGUCUAAAACUGAUAUUGAGGGGAACGGAUUGUAAAACAUUAGCAACAUAGGCUUCUCUACGUCGGACAAUGUUGUACAAAGAAGGAUAUUGAAGUGCAAGUGGGGUCUCCCCAAGCCACGUAUCCUCCCAAAACCUUGUAGUAGCACCAUUCCCAACAAUAAACUUAGUCUUGUUGAAAAAAAGUUUUUUAACUCUCAUCAAACCCUUCCAAAAGGGAGAGUCGGAAGGCCUCACAUUCACCUGAGCCAAAGUCUUAGCAAAGAGAUACUUAUUGCGCAAAAUCUGAGCCCAAGUUGCGUCCCUCUCAGAUGACAGCUUAAAUAGCCACUUGCUAAGGAGACAUAUGUUUUUGACUUCCAGAUUUUCAAUGCCUAGACCUCCUUGCUCCUUAGGCCUACAGAUUAUAUCCCACUUAGCGAGCCUAUACUUUCGUUUAAGCUCAUCAAUUUGCCAAAAGAAACGCGAUCGAUAGAAAUCUAACCUUUUCCUGACUCCAACCGGAACCAAGAAAAAGGAUAAGAGAAACAUAGGCAUACUAGUGAGGACCGAAUUAAUCAGAAUCAAUCGUCCUCCGUAUGACAUGAGCUUUCCUUUCCAACAGCUCAGUUUCUUUUCAAAACGAUCCUCAACGCAUUUCCACUCAAAGUUAGUCAGCUUACGAUGAUGAAUGGGUAUACCUAAGUACGUAAACGGUAACGAGCCCAAUUCACAUCCGAACAAUUGUUGAUACGACUCCCGAUCAUCAUUAGCUCUUCCAAAGCAAAACAAUUCGCUCUUGUGGAAGUUGAUUUUGAGCCCAGACAAUUGUUCAAAUAAGCAUAACAGCAGCUUCAUGUUUCUUGCUUUCGCCAAGUCAUGCUCCAUAAAGAUGAUAGUAUCAUCAGCAUACUGAAGAAUGGACAUCCCGCCGUCAACUAGAUGAGGAACCAAGCCAGCUACCUGCCCGGCAUCCUUUGCCCGACCUAUUAAGAUAGUCAGCAUAUCAGCCACUAUGUUGAAGAGGAUCGGUGGCAUAGGGUCUCCUUGCCGUAGCCCCUUGUGUGUUUGGAAAUAGUGACCUACGUCAACAUUCACCUUAAUCCCUACACUCCCUUUUUGCGUAAAGGAAUCAACCUGGUUUCUCCAGGCCGGAUCGAAACCUUUCAUACGCAAAGCUUGUUGAAGGAAAGACCAUUUAACUUUAUCAUAAGCUUUCUCAAAAUCCACUUUAAAAACUACGCCAUCAAGUUUUUUGGAGUGGAUUUCAUGAAGCGUUUCAUGCAAAACAACAACCCCUUCCAGGAUGUUUCUAUCAGGCAUGAAAGCAGUCUGGGACGGCGCAACUACUGAGUGUGCAAUUUGCGUAAGUCUAUUCGUCCCGACCUUGGUGAAAAUUUUGAAACUCACAUUAAGCAGACAUAUGGGUCUGAACUGCUCGAUGCGAACAGCCUCUGUCUUCUUAGGGAGAAGUGUUAUAGUCCCAAAAUUCAGUUUAAACAAAUGAAGCUCCCCUUCAAAAAACUCUUGAAACAUGGGCAUCAAAUCCCCCUUAAUAAAAUGCCAACAUUUCUUGUAAAAUUCCACCGGGAACCCAUCUGGUCCUGGGGCCUUGUUAUUCUUCAUUUGUGCAAUAGCCUCAAAAACCUCUUUCUCGGAGAAAGGCGCAGUCAAAAUUUCAUUUUCGGCAGUCUCAAGUUGAGGCACAUCCUCAACCCUAGACUCAUCCAACGUUACGGAAGUCCCUACCGGGGGACCAAACAACUGCUUAUAAUAAUUGGUAAUGUAGACUUUCAGAUUGUCCUGACCAACUAUUGUCCCUUCAUCUUGUUCUAGUUGGAAAAUUCUCUUUUUACGAUGCUUCCCGUUGGCAACCAUAUGAAAGAAUUGAGUGUUAUCCUCGCCUUCAACGAUUUUGCGAGUCUUAGCUCGCAACGCCCACUUCAAUUCCUCCUCACGAAGAAGCUUUUUAAGCUGCAACUCCGCUUCUACCUUUGUUUCCAGCUCAUUGGACUCCAAGAUAGAAGUUUCAGCUUUAACUUCAAGGUUGUGAAUAAGUAGGAGAAGUCUCUCCUUCUCCACCUUAUAAAUCCCGUUCAUGUGCUUAGCCCAACCACGAAGGAAACUACGGAGAUGACGAAUCUUGCAUUGCCAACGCUCGAUUGGCGUCCUACCUCCCGAGUCCUUCGCCCACUCUAUAGCUAGCAACUCAAGAAACCCUUCUCUUUCAAACCAGGCAAGUUCAAACGAGAAAAAGUUCUUGUUGCCCACAAAAUUUUGAACUCCGGAGUCGACUAGUAACGGUGUAUGAUCCGAGACACCUCGAGUCAUAGCCUGCACAGUUACCAGAGGAAACUUCUGUUCCCACUCGACACUAGCUAGCACACGGUCAAGUUUCUCAAAGGUCGGAACCGGUAACGAAUUAGCCCAAGUGAAUUUCCUACCCGAAAGCUCAAUCUCCCUGAGAUCCAAGCUUUCGAUGAUAGUGUUGAACAUAAACGGCCAGCGGCCGUCAAAAUUGUCAUUAUUCUUAUCCUCCUUUCUUCGGAUAAUGUUGAAAUCCCCUCCCACUAAGAGAGGUAGCUGCUCGUUACCACAGAUACGCACUAGAUCCGCCAAAAAAUCUGGCUUUAGCUCUGGUUGCGCAGCUCCGUAAACUGCCACCAAUGCCCAAUCAAACCCGUCUGCCUUAUUGCGGACUCGAAACUUGACAGCGAACUCUCCCAUAACUACGCUCCGAACCUCCAACGAUUCGCACUUCACCCCAAGUAGAAUCCCACCGGAUCUUCCUCGAGGAGGGAGGCAAUGCCAAUCAAAAGCUACCCCCCCGGACAAAGUGGCAAGAAAUUGAGAAGUGAAAUUGCUUCUUCCAGUCUCAGACAAAGCAAUAAAAUCUAAAUGAUGUUCAAGAGAAGCAUCCGCUAGAAACCUCCUUUUAGCCAAGUCUCUAAGACCUCUGCUAUUCCAGAAAAUGCCUCUCAUAACUCAUCAUGAAAUUUUUUGGCAGUACGGAUCCUAGCACUCCUACGCGCAGCGGAUACUGGAUAAACCUUACGUUUCCAUGUCCGCUUAGGCUUUAAGUGACCAUCAGCCUGAUCACCGCCCUCCUUCACAGCUUCUAUCACUAAAGACUCAUCUGCAAGAAGAGACGUCUCAGGAAUGGUGUCCUCCUCUAUCUCUAUAAAUGCAGGGUCAAGAUCAGCACACAUGCCAUCAAGAACCCUAACCCCAAGCGCAUCAAUCUCCGAGUCAUUCAUUGGUUUAACGGCAGCUAUGUGACGAAUCAUAUCUACCGCACGAUCAGCUUCUAAAUCAAGAAUGUCGUUAACCGACUUGGCAAUUUCAGCAUCAUUAUUACCAAGUGAAAUUCCUAAUUGAGUUGCAUUAUUAAUGAUUUCAUUAUCAGUAAAAUGCAAAAUGGAAUUCGACUUAAUAACAGACAUACCAGUGGAGGUCUCGACGUCAUGCAACUUGGCAGCCCUCAACGCACACCUCAGUUGAAUGUCAUCAACAUCCGGCUGCUCCUGCAGCCUCCCGCUGAUCCGCCUCCCCUGGGAGACAGGAUCCGGAAUACCACCAAAGGCAAUGACCUCCUCUCGAGAAGCCCUGCUAGGGGAAGGGCCUCCUGCCCGUCCCCCAACAGCGGUGCCCCGGAUCGCAGACACCGGAGCAGGAGAAGAAAGAGGCGGCGUCACCUGCAGCCCGAGCACGGGCGACCCACGAGCAGCAGAGCUCGGGGCAGCCAACGCACCGCGCACCGGGGGAGAAGCUGUAAGAGCGACCGCGUCGCCCAAACCACCCGACACAACGGGAACCGGCGAGUCAGCGGCCUCCCGCCCAGCCACACCCUCGGCCGCGCGAGGAGAAACCGCAGCCAAAGGGGCGGAUCUGGCCGGUGAAGCAGCUGGUCCGUGGCCGCCCCCAGCUGCCAUCCCCCCGAAGAAAACUCCCCCCGCCUCAGAGGAAGCCAAAGAGGGGGGCGAGUGGUGCGCAGGCCUCCUGCCCGCAUGUCCCACCCGAGGUCGCCCGAUCCUCCGAAGGGGCGAAAACCUCCGCGCUGGCCCUAGGCACCAAAGAGACAGGCGUCUCAAGAGCUCGGGAAGGCCGGCCCUCACUCCCGCCCACGUCCGCCAAGGUGCCCAGCGAAGACAACGUCGAUGAAGUAGGAGUAACAUGGACCUCCUGUCCAGAAGUUCCUUCCGGACCAUUGACAAACAAGACAGAGUCAACCCCCGUAAUCGCAGGCGGCAAAUGCUCAGACAGGUCAUCCAUGUCCACCCGAUCACUCCAAAGACGAGGAGGCGCCGAGAAAGCUCCUACGGAACCCAGUUGCAGCAUAUUGGACGGGACCGAAACCGGCGAUUUCCCCUGAGCAGACUCUCCUGCCUUAGACGAAUCCACAGGCCUGGAAUCCCUGUCCCCAUCAUUAUGAGUAUUACUACCAUGGUUCCCAGGGGCGCCUCCCCCCUCAGUAGUAUCCAUAUGAUGCACCUCAUCAAACUCCUGAAACAAAUUAGGAUCCUCAUACUCGACAUUCAACAUGUACGCAAUACCCUCGUGACACCAUCUGACCACAUCCGGCAAGAACUCGAUGUUGGCCACGCUAACCAGCAAGCGCGCCACACCAUGAGCACGGGUGAAGGGCAUAUCUACCUGCUCCGUCUUACCAAGCAAGGAUCCCAAGCUCCAUGUGACGAAGAAAUCAUUCAAGGGCUCAGAUGGAGCACCCAGAAAACGAAUCCAGAUCUGAGUUAGAGGUGUGCCCUGCGGCUCCGCCUUCUUCCACUCAUCAAACUGCAACACAAAGCUAGUGCCAGUAACUCUACACAUACCAAACUUGAGAAUUCUCUUCUGGUCCUCCUUAGAUGGAAAUUCCACUUUGUAAGACUGAUCUGAUAGUUUCAACAAGGACCAGUUAAAGUUCCCCGGAGCCAACUCCCGCAACUGCUGAAUGAUCUGGGCUUCAGUGAGAUGUCCGGAGACCACCUUAACCACCCCGGGGAAGGAGGUCUCAAAAACAGGAGCCACCGAGGCCACGCUAGGUGACUCGAAGAACAUCAACUCAGAGCAACAGAGCCCAUAAAUAUUAAGUGCCGGUUUGGGACCCAGAAGAAGCGGACACUCAGCCGCCACAUGUUUAGGUUUUCGACAAAUAUCACAUAACUCAGCAGAGCAAUCAACCAUGAAGUGACCCGUCUCACCGCACCGGAAACAGAUCAGUUUCUUCUUCUUAGCCGCCCACUUGGAGAGCUUGUCCCCCCCGGCCUUUUCCGAUCCUUUGUCAGAAUCAGCAUCAACGGAUUGCACAGUCACCGGAACUGUCACAUCGGCGAGCGCCCGAACCGUCUCCACCACCGCGUGAGUGAGACCAGCGUCAUCCGUGGACAUGUCAGUGGUUUCCGAACCCGUAGCACCGGGCAAAUUGCGCGGAGGAUAACGGCGGUGACCGCCACGACCACGGUAGCGGCCCCGGAAACGACUCGGGCCAACCGCCCCCUCAACAAAAUUCCCCGGAGGUCCAUGGAAACCACGACCGGCAGCCCCGUGAUCUGUCCAACCAUAGCCCUGCCCACCACCAGUGGACGAUGAGCCACGAUGAAGACCACGACCGUAAGCAUCGUAACCAUCGUCACCCCACUGACCACGGGGAGGGUCGCGGCUUUCACCCGCGAACGCUCCCGACCCGCGGCCCGCAGCAGCAUUAGCAGGUCCACCCCGCCCGAGCGCCAUCUGCCGCGGCCAGGGGCGCGGCGCCUGAGGGGGUGCGGCCCCGGCCGGCUGCGCCGCCGGAACCCUGGUGGGAGGCGCAGCCUGCGCAGGCGCCGAAGGCGCAGCCGACGCCGGCACAGCCGUCGGACCACCUGACGCAGCCCUCGCAGGCGGCUUCGCCGGCGGCGGAGCCUUGGCCAACGGCGGGGCUUUGGGUGGCAUAGCUUCGCCGGCUACCGUCGGAGAGCAGCGGCAAGGAUGCAGCGCCCGCCUCACACGGCGAGUCCCAGCAGGAGGGAAGCCCAAUCUUCCGCGGCGGCGAACCCUAGAGAAAACCUCGAAACGGCCAGGAGAGACCGAACGUGCAUGCGAAACCACGCGAACCGAUGCGGUCACAUGCACGGGAGCCACUCCAGCCCAGUCCGCAGCGGCCGGUUUUGCCUGGGCCUGAAGCCCUGCUAAUCCCGGUCCGCCCUCGGAUGAAACCCCCUGGCCAGACGGCCUAAACGCGGGCUGGCCUUCAUUUCGGCCCACCGAUUCAAGCCCAUCAGCGCGCAACAACGAAUUCAAACGCGUGAUCCGCUCCGAUCGGAUCACGCCCGCACGGUCAAUCGCCGGCGCCGGCUCCGGCGCCGCCGCCGGUCGCCGACACUUCUUCCUCUUCACUAUCUUCCACGAUCCCUCUGUAAUGAAAUCUGACAAGGUAAGUUUUGGGAGACAUACCUUAGGAAUAGGCCCCUUCCAUGGCCGGAUCGCAGCCGCCGCCGUCCGUCGAUGAACCAUGCGUCGAACAAUCUCAAUCUUGUCCUCUGCCCCCAAGCCUUGCCGCGCCGGAUCAUCCAUCGGCACGACGCCAUCAACGAUCGUGGCCACAUCCUCUUCCGAGUACCCGGGAUCGAACGCCUCGCAGAUCACAGACGACGGCGUUGGCGAGUACGCCUCCGGCAAACCUCCGGCGACGUCCCCAUCGUCAUCGUCCUCCGCAUCAGCCUCCGCUAGAGCCCAGAACCUCCCACCAACGAGCCCCACGCUAGAGGUCGCCGGCGGCAUGACCGCGGUGGUCGCCCAGGAGUCGCCCGUUCACUGUGGUACUAGGCUCGGUUCUCAAGAGCUUCUUGCCCCCCACCAUCUACAAUCUGCGCCAGGUUUAUGAUCGAAGGAAAAAUACGACCAACACCUUGGCGGCCGUGGUUACCUAGGGAAAAGAUUACACUGGACCAGAGAGGACGCCGCACUAGCCACAUCUAGGAAACCUCUUCCUUUAGAGUACAUCAAGGAGGGGCACACCACUUCGUAAGGGGGAACACAACCUAUUACCAUGUCAUCAAUUGCCGCUACCCCGGAACUCAAGGAAGUAUUCGACCAUUUCGUAACAUCUCAACGCAAUGUCUUUUCGUAGUUCAUUACUCCACUUUCAAUACACUCAGCAAAAUAGCUUGCAUCGAGAACAUUACAUAUGAAUCGGUAUGUUCGUGAUAGUGUACAAAUAGUGUAACUACAAGACCAAAAGAGCAAGAAAUAGUGUACAAAUUCAUAUGGUCUUAAAAGUUUCAAGCAUUAUUAAGGUUGUAACAUUAUGUAUUGGUGCUCUCUCUCUCUCUCUCUCUCUCUCUCUCUCAGCAGUAUUGUGUGAUAGAAUUUUUAAUUUUUUAAUUUGUGCUAACGUAGCAUUCAUAUUGCAGCAUGUAAAAAGAACAUAUGACAUAAAUGAUCUUAUAACUAAACUAAACAUAAAACUAUUGAGCCCUGAACUCUGGUUUUGUCCAUUUUACUUGGCCCUCUCUACCAAAACUACAAUGGUUUUGAUUGAUGUCACAUACGUACGUGUAAAUUUUUUGUGAAAUGUUGCCCAUGUGGUGCAAUAAAAAAUAUUUGUUCUAUCUAUCAAUAUUUUUGGAAAAUACAGAUAAAUAAAUUUGGGGUUAAAGUAAAAAAACUGGCAAAUAUAGAAUCCUUUUAUUAAGAAAGGUGAAACUUCUGAACGAACACGAAAUUAUGGAACAGAAAAAACCAGCGAUACCAUUCAAAAAGGAAAAAAAUAUAUGGAAAAUGGGAAGUGAGCAAAUAGUCAGAAGAGUUCCAAGUCUCAUAAAGAAUUAUGAAGUACCAUUAAAUAAUGAACAAAAUAUUUAGGGAAGAAACACAUAUUUCAAAAUUUAUUAAGAUGUAUUGUUUGGACGUUGCCCUAUGUCCAGAUAUUCAUGAAUAGUGAUAAUAUAUUGUUUUCUUUAUUUUUAGAAUCUACAGUAAAUGGUUCAUUUCUGUAUCUCUAAGGAUUUACUACCUCCGUUCGGACAUAACUGAUGUGGUUUUAGUUCAAAUUUAAUUCGAACUAAAAUCACAUCAGUUAUUUCCGAACGGAGGGAGUAUUUGUUAUCCAUGAUAUAUUUUGUUCCAAGUUAUUUUAUUUGAUUUUAGUAUCUCUAUCUCCUAGCGUUGUCUCUUUUAUUCAUUUCUAUUUAGAAAUUUUCCCCUUUUCAAAUUUUGUAUUCUUUUCCAACUUUUCCCUAUUUUUCAUAGUUUUGCUCCAUUUUAAUUACUUUAUAUAUGAUUAUCUCAAGUUGUUUCUUUCAUCGACAUGUGUUAACAAAAGCAUUAGACAAGUUGGCACGUCUAAACAUAAUAUAUUAUAAUGAGUUUUAAGUUGCAUUUAUGUGUUUGUUUUAUUAUAGCUGAUUGUUAAUUUUUAUGCGUGCAUAUUUAUCAAUUAUCAGUAUUAAUAUGAGAUACAAUCUCUUUAUUCACAGAUGUGGAAAGCAAUGUCAUAUAAAAGAAAUCAACGGGUUUUGGUCAUCGGUAUUGUGUGGGCCCAGGUGCCAGGCACAUCCGGUGGCUCUUGCUAUUAGGAUAGGUGUAUUGCCACCCGGAAAAGGGCCCUAGAUUCUAGCACUCUUUCACAUGCAUGUCCAUUUGCAUCUGAGAAUGCUUCGGCGAUGUCUCGGUGAUAAUAUACAAAAACAUUUUGCGUCGCCAACAAGAAGGGAGGAAAGCCAUCAAACAUUUUCCCCCUCGACAGCAUCACCAUGAAAUGCAAUCAUUUAUUCAUCGGUCUUGGAAGCCUCCAUAGCUUCCUUCAAAAUUAUCAAGACCAUCAAGAUUGGUUUGUAACUUGGUAUUCAUGAAUUUAUGAAAACAAAAAAUUAUCAAUCUUUGGGCCAUAUUGGCAUCCUUCUCCGGCAAGGGUACGUCUAAGGAGACUCUGAAACAACAAAGAUGAAAGUAAUAUACACACCGAUUGGUGGAAAGUACAUGUAUGAAACCAUGGGCAUAUGCACCCACUACGAAAAACUCAUUUCUAAGUGCCAAAAAAUUCUGAAAAAAGUUUCACGCAUACAUCUUCACAUUCUAUGUGCGCACAGGAAGUUCCAUGCAAAAACAACUUCUUCUUUGGCCUCUGCAAAAAAGAAAACAAAAGUGACGUGGCAUGUUAUUUAGAAGCACUGAAUUUGUCUUUUUCAUGGAGGCAAAAUAAAAAAGAAAAGUUUUCAUAAAACUUUGUGUCGUGCACUAUGUUUCGAAGAUGUAUGCGUGAAAUUUUGUAUCUGAAUUUUUGACAUUGUAAAUUGCAGUUAAAAUGCAUUUUUUAAAAGUGGGUUCAUAUGUCAGGGUGCCCCCACUCAACGAUUCGCUUGUAACCUUGGUAUUCAUCAAUUUAUGAAAACAAAAGAUUAUCAAUCUUUGUGCCAUUCUUUGUCAAGAUUGGAAUCCUUUUCCGGCAAAGGUUCAUCGAAGGAGACUCCCAAACAGCAAAGAUGAAAGUACAUAGACACCGAUCAACAAGACCACAAAACUCACGUGAUUCACGAAAUUUGACGUCGCGAUCUGUCCAAGCGUGCACUAUAAAGUUGUUUCUUUCUAGAUUAGCGCGAGUCCCUUUUUUUGCAGGUGAGCAUUAGUGCGAGAUCUAACCAAUGAAGAAAAAUCGAUGCAUCCACGGGAUGGGAUCUGAAUCUGUGGAGGCGCAUGCAGACUGUCAUGAAUGUGUGUCCAACUCAACCCAUGUGGGAGGCAUGGUACGGCAAAAGAAACAAGUACCUGCUGGUUGCUAUGUACCUGUCAUUGGGACCAAUGUGACAUUGCAAAUCUAUCCUAUCCAGCCAGCUCGCUGAGUAGGAGAGAAGGAACUUCAUGCCAAACAGAAGGACCGUGCCCUAAUAAAACAUGAGUGAAUUCCGGUUUUUAUUCUCUAUUUUGACAUUUUUUGACACUAAUUACCCCAUUUAGCGGGAUUUCAUCUGUUUUAUCCCAUUUAGCAAAUUCACCCUGUUUAAAAUUUUAUGAGCAUUCUGACAUAUGGGUCCCAAUUGUAAGGUCCAGCUAGAAUGCCAAAUCGCCGGGUUUUUUUCCGAUGGUUUUCUACACGCCAAACCAGGUCGCCCUAGCUUCUCCCGACUGGCCAAGCUUGAUAUGAUCGCACCAGAGCAGCUCGGGAAACAGAGUACUAACUCUGCACCGGUAAACAUAUUUGCUAAUACGGAAAAGGAAACUUCUAAAACAUGAUUUACCUAGUUCAUUCUUCGCUAGAUAUGUAGAUAUGUACGUGCAUCAGAGGUACUGAAGCAGUAUAUUUACACCACUUUUAAUCUGAUCCACAUAAUCAUUCAUACUUAAGGUUGUAUAUGAUAAUACUGAAGAAAAACAUACAUGAUUUCAUAUUAUAUCAGCAACAGUCCCUCCUAGAAUUUAUUCAAUGGGAACAUGCCACGCUGAUCAAGUACAGUCAUCUCAUCACAAUACUUCUUCGAACCGGAAACGAGUAGUCUAAACCUAUCUAAUAUGCAUCCCAGACUAAGAGAAAAUCUAGCCACAAAAAACCUAACCACCAGGGGUCACAAACAGAGGAUGCAGCAUGCAUGGGACGGGACAAGAUUGUCGUAUUGGUUGCCGCUUGCUCCGACUAUCGCCAGUGGCCACGACUUGAAGUCUUGCCUGUCGUUGUCACCUACGUCGUGCUACCCCCUCCUAACGAAUGAGGCGGUGGUUUUGGGUCAGACCAGGGCAGGAUCGUGUGUGCAAUGGGAAUGCGAGUGAUGUGUGCCGUGAAUAAUGGAGGCCAAUGUGAUAUGGCCCAACCUGGGCGACUUGGCUAUCCGGCGAGCUGCUUUGGUGCCAUCAUAUCAAGCUUGGCCGGUCGGGAGAAGCUAGGCGAUGCCUUUAGGCGUGCAGGAAAACCAUCAGGAAAAAUCCGCCUAUGUGGCAUGCCAGCUGGACCUUACAAUUGGGACCCAUCGGCCAGAACACUCACAAAAUUUUAAACAUGGUAAAUUGUGGCAAUAUUUUUGCUAAAUGGGGUAAAAUGGAUGAAAUCCCGCUAAAUGGGUAAUUAGCGUAAAAAAUGUUAAAAUAGGGGGUAAAGACGGAAUUCACUCAUAAAACACUGCAAUCCUCUAUAUUUUCUGGACCCUUGAAAAUUUGAGUUACCGGAGCGCUCGUAUUGUUAAAUCGUCGGAGAGAGCAAAAGAAACUGAUCAAAAGCACAUCAACUAAAGGCUAAAUCAGAAUACCUAUGCAGCUGCGAUCAGCAUCUGAACCAUCUCCCAGCUACCUAACCGCAAGGAUGAAAGAAAUUUAAGCACACCUCUUCCAUCUACCUAGCCAUAUGAUGAUGAAAGAUAUUUAAGCACCUCUUCCCUCUACCUAACCAUAUGAUGAUGAAAGAUAUUUGCAUCUCAACCAUCUCCCAGCUACCUAGCCGCAAGGACGAGGUACAUGAAGCGACUUUGACGGUGAUCUCUACGUGGUGGUUUCAUCUACCGACUCGAGUCAACUAUAGCUAAUAUGCAUACUAUUGAAGCUGGAUACAUAAUAACUAACGAAAAGAAAACCUGAUCGCAGCCGGUUUUCACGUAUGAAUUGACUGGAAGACUUAAGAAUUCCGGUCAGUUCUUCUCACAAAAUUGAAUACUUAAGUAUUACCGUCGUUUUACACUAAAACCGCAUAUGUUACUAAUUUCAGGGCUGACAUAAUUUAUGUUUAGAGCAAACCCUGCAGAUCAAAAUUCACACCAAUUGAUUUUCAUCAAUCACAUGUCAACACAUGAUGCAUCACAAAUACACAUUCAAAUUCAUGUCACAACUGCAUUGUAUUUCAUUCCAGUGUACUCCCUCCGUUUCUUUUUACUCCGCAUAUAAAAUUUGGUCAAAGUCAAACUACACAAAGUUUGACCAAAUUUAUAUAAAAAAAUAUAAACAUCUACAAUAUUAAAACUAUAUAGUAUGAAAAUACAUUUCGUGGUGCAUCUGAUAACGUUGAUUUCAUACUGUCAAUGUUUAUAUUUUUUAAUGUAAAGUUAGUCAAACUUUACAAAGCUUGACUUUGACCAAACCUUAUAUGCAGACUAAAAAGAAACGAAGGGAGUACACAAUAUUCCGUUCCUUGUUUCUCUGGAGGCCACAUUGGAGAGAGUGUGUGUGUGUGUGUGAGUGCAUGGGUGGGUGGGUGGGCGCGCGUGUGAGCGGAUCGGGCCAAUGACAUGAAGUGAUCAAUCACAUGGAUAUCAUCGAUAAGGACAUACUCCGGCACCUCUUGCAACUCCCCCUCCGCUUCUCCCUGAGAUCUUGCAGCAAAGGCAAGCAUAUACCAGACGCUCACGCAAUCGUUUACUCAAAACUCAAAUGACCUCCCAAGAUUCCAUAAUAGUAGUUCUACUGCAACUAAAACCAACAUUCUACUAAUAAUUUGCCAAGACUAGCUCAGUAAUACUACUGAACUAUGGCUUGCGUCGGUCUCCGUGGUCGUGUGGGCAUCUUGGAUACUGGAUCUCGAGAUGGUGGCGGCCUUUCUGAGGCUGGAUGGUCGUGGUCGCUUCAAGUCACGAUCAAUGAUGGGCAGCAGCCGGCACAAUUCUCCCAAUAUGCAUGCUAUGGGUCUGCGUAAGUUGCAUAGAGAGGUCGCACGCAUACCUCAGAAGAGAGAUUGAUUAUAAGUGAUGAAUGAUAAUCCCUUCUUUCUCUACCGCCUACUAACGGUUAUAAUCGGUCGAUUGGGAUUUCUGCAAUUCACAAUCACAUAGACCGAGAACCAGCAAAGCCCCAAGAAUGCUUGCACAGUUUGAGUUCCAAAUUAAUUAAACACAAGAUAUUGUUUUCUAGUAACAGGAUAAUAAUCUUGUUGUCCUGUCUUUGUAGCUACACCCACCCCGUCCGAGUCUUCAUCAAGCAUUGACCAAUUUAUCAACCAAACGUGGCUGAUGGAUCAAUUUGUUGUCCAUUUCAACAAGUUAUGAGGGUGGACAUGGUCAUGUGCAGUGCAGUGCAGUGAUGAAGAGGUUAGGGACGACGAAAUUUCUUCUCAAGAGGCGUGCAUGGGCACUCCGCAUGUGCAAUCAUGAAGAUGAUGCAUGAUAGGCGAAGCUUCUUCCGGCCAGCCGCCGCGCUCCAGAAUUCAACGGACGAGACUAGUGCAGGCUUAAAUUGUUCCAUAAAAUGGCGGCACUCGGCGCCUCGGCUCAUUCAUCCAACCAUGUCCACGCUGAGAGCGCGGCGUGCGACGGCCAUCCUGGCCGUCGUCCUGGCGGCGGCCGCGGUCGUCACUCCGGCCACGGCCCAGCAGUGCGGCUCGCAAGCCGGCGGCGCCAAGUGCGCCGACUGCCUGUGCUGCAGCCAGUUCGGGUUCUGCGGCAGCACCUCCGAAUACUGCGGCGCCGGCUGCCAGAGCCAGUGCAGCGGCAGCGGCUGCGGCGGCGGCGGGGUGGCGUCCAUCGUGUCCAGGGACCUCUUCGAGCGGUUCCUGCUCCACCGCAACGACGCGGCGUGCCUGGCCCGCGGGUUCUACACCUACGACGCCUUCCUGGCCGCCGCCGGCGCGUUCCCGGCCUUCGGCACCACCGGAGACCUGGACACGCGGAAGCGGGAGGUGGCGGCCUUCUUCGGCCAGACCUCUCACGAGACCACCGGCGGGUGGCCCACCGCGCCCGACGGCCCCUUCUCGUGGGGCUACUGCUUCAAGCAGGAGCAGGGCUCGCCGCCGAGCUACUGCGACCAGAGCGCCGACUGGCCGUGCGCACCCGGCAAGCAGUACUAUGGCCGCGGCCCCAUCCAGCUCACCCAGUAAGCACCCACAAAACCCUCUUCUUCAUGUAGUUCUCUCCUAACUCAAAAUUCCUCAGCUUUAACCAAGUGUACAUGAAAAAUUACCAACAUUUGUGAUAGUACCGUCAGCGUAAUUAGAUAAAGCAUAUUUUCAUAUGAUAUUGUUUGGAUUGGUAAAAACAUAAAAAGUGUAGUGUCUUUGUUGGCCUGUUUGUUUCAUGAUGGAUUGAUUCAGCAACUACAACUACGGACCGGCGGGCCGCGCAAUCGGGGUGGACCUGCUGAACAAUCCGGACCUGGUGGCCACGGACCCGACAGUGGCGUUCAAGACGGCGAUAUGGUUCUGGAUGACGACGCAGUCCAACAAGCCGUCGUGCCAUGACGUGAUCACGGGGCGGUGGACUCCGACGGCCAAGGAUAGCGCGGCCGGACGGGUGCCCGGGUAUGGUGUCAUCACCAACGUCAUCAACGGCGGGAUCGAGUGCGGCAUGGGGCAGAACGACAAGGUGGCCGAUCGGAUCGGGUUCUACAAGCGCUAUUGUGACAUCUUCGGCAUCGGCUACGGGAAUAACCUCGACUGCUACAACCAAUUGUCGUUCAACAUUGGGCUCGCGGCACAGUGAGAUAGUAAGACUAUGGGUCCUCGAUCUAUGCAUGUGUGGAUGUGAUCACGCAUAAAUAAAUAAUCUUGGUGAUUACUUUAUGACCAAAUAAAUGGAUGACCAGACCUCCCACAUGUGUAGUACAUGUAUGUCGAUGCACGGAAAGGAAUCACCUUUAUUAAAAAUAUAUUCUAGUUUAUGCAGAAAUAUCUGCAAAUAUAUAUGUCGCCUACGGUCCAUACUUGCUUGUCUUGGUGGACUGAUCUUUCAUACCCCUACGUCCCAAACUUAUUUGGGACGGAGCGGACAGAGUACUCCAGUAAUUUUGAUAAUAAAGUGACGGGCGUUUAGAGCAGAAAUGGCUUUACGCGGGGGGAGUCGCCACGGAAUUUCUGAGGUAGAAUCGCGUUGUUUCCCUCCUUUUUUUGUUUACGGAAUUUCUGCUCGGUGAUAGGGGGUGUGUUGGGGCUAGUUCGUUUGCUGCGUUGGAGUUUUCAUGGGUGCAGGUAGGAGGAGAGGUGAUCAUGCGUGCAUAGAGGAAGGUAUUCCUUCGCGAACUAGUGGGCAGAUCCUUGUUGUGUGCAUUUUGUGUUAAUUCAACUCGAUUUUUUCUGUGUAUUAUUGAAGUCAGGCUAACUAUUACUCCAACGCUCUUAUAUUUCUUUAGGAGGGAGUACAAAUCAUCAGCAUUUCGCCCCCAUACAUCCGAAGUUCUUCAAAAGACUUAGCCCCUUUAACAAUCAUCAAGAGCAUGCGCAGGUAGUACAGUUCACCACUCAUAGCAUGUACAUAGUAAUCCCGCCCCCUUUCAUGCCAUGAUUUACUUUUAGCAUCCCAUGUCCACCCAAUCAGAAAAUCACAGUACGUAAAUGACCGACCAUGCUCAUAGAAUUCAUUGGCAACAAAACAUUUAGUGACCAUAGUUUUUUUCAAGAAGUCAGAACCAGCAAUUUUUGUAAUGUCAGCACCAGCACGAUAUCGAACAAUAUUCAUGCCAGGCAUAUGAACAGUUAAUCUUUCUACAGAGGGAAUUUUAAAGUGUAACGACACAAUCAAAUACUCUUUUACUUUAUCAAUUGAAAGAUAGCCGGUUACACAUCGAAUACUCUCCGAGCCAACCAGCAGCUGACACGCGAAGGGCCGACACAGGAAAUCCCCACACUGCCCUUGGCGGGCUCUCAAAACUACAGGCGGAGCCACCGCACGAUCCAGCGCUGAAGUCACACACCGCGGCUGGCCGCACACACGACGCCGACAAGAGGGCCCCACCAGGCAUCGAGCCCAUGCGACAGAGAGACACGACCUAAUGGGCGACAUGAGAAAAAGGAACGUAAUGUAGAGCAGGUACAAGUAAAAUUUUAUCCAACAGCCCAGCUCAUCCCAGAGCAGAUCAAACGACUCAGAUCGCAUCAAGUUCGAGAUCUGACGGUCCAAAUGGCCUGAGCUCCGAGAGAGCCCAUGUUUAGACAUGAAUCUAACUAUGGGAUACCCACCACCAGUGGCGGAGCUACGGGGGAGGGGGGCACUGNNNNNNNNNNNNNNNNNNNNNNNNNNNNNNNNNNNNNNNNNNNNNNNNNNNNNNNNNNNNNNNNNNNNNNNNNNNNNNNNNNNNNNNNNNNNNNNNNNNNNNNNNNNNNNNNNNNNNNNNNNNNNNNNNNNNNNNNNNNNNNNNNNNNNNNNNNNNNNNNNNNNNNNNNNNNNNNNNNNNNNNNNNNNNNNNNNNNNNNNNNNNNNNNNNNNNNNNNNNNNNNNNNNNNNNNNNNNNNNNNNNNNNNNNNNNNNNNNNNNNNNNNNNNUAAUUUCUGAAGAAUUUUUUUAGAGAAACUUAGAUUAAAUGUUUUUUUUUAACAUUUUGUGACCCCCUGUCCCCAGAGCACGCCGAGAGCACGAGCACCAGUUCACCAUCCGUGCAGAUGGAGGGCGGAGGCGCCGCAUCAGCUGAGGCGCAGAAGGGCGCGCCGGUUCCUGUCAGCCGCCGCCAAAGGCCUUUUGGCCGGCGCGGUUGACACGCCACCGGGAGAUGGACUACGCCAGCAUCGCCCGCUGAGCAUUCACCGUCGUCGUCAACGUCCUGGUCGACGAGCUCCUCGCCAGCCCACCGGACGCCACGGCGGGCGAAAGGACGCUGAACUACAUGCUCGAGGCGGCGGCGUUCAUCGGCGCAUGGUCACCUCAAACCCUUCUCUAUGUGAAUCUCAAUUAUAUAGACAAUGGAUGGUGGAAAACCAACUAAACUGGCGAUGUGGGCACCGAAAAAGGCUUCAGUAGCAGCCACUCAAGCAGACCCCUUAUAACACGGACUCUUUUAUCGUGUUUACAGUUUCCGGCAAAACGCGUUUUGCGGGUUUUGGCCGACCCUGCAUAACGGAACUGUAAAAAGUAGAAUUUUUGGCAUGCCAACAAAACUCGAUGACGCGACACUGAGACAAAACAUCUUCAGACUCAAACUCUCCUCUUUUUCUUCAGAAUUCGACUACGCGCAGAUAGAUGAAACGCAAAAGCUUCUUCAAGCGCGAAGCUUUCAGUGCUCAGUAGUUAAGUAAUAGCGGCUUUCAGUGCUCAGAUCUCACCGUAAAUUUGAAACGCUGUGUUUGAAAUCUCACAGAGGAAGAAUUCUCCCUUUCUUCAGAAAGGGAGAAGAUUUCGUCGCUGCCACUUCUUCGUGCAGAAAUAUACGCUCACGUACAGCAAAGAAACUUUCUUCGGACUAACACUCUGAAUUUGAUUAAUUAUCUCCGAAUUUUAUCAGAGGCAGUUUCAGUUCUAAAGCAUCAGAAAAGAAGGCAAAACAUUUGCAGACUUUUAAACUCCUGUUUUUCCUUCAGAAUUCGACCACAGGGGACGAACUCCCUCCGUUCUCACAUCUCAUACAUCCCCAAAACACACAAAGUGACACUGAUAUUUGACCCGAGAAUGAAACAAGAACGACACUGACACUCCAGCUAGACACGCAGCGACCAACAACCACUAGAACUCACUCACCCAUGGACAGACACGACACUGCUCAUCUUCUUCUCCUGGUUGCAAGGAAAUGAGACUCUUCUUCAAUCUUCAGUCGACCUCCUCCAUCUUGCUCUCCUCGGCGCCCUCCUCCUCCAGCGCGGGCAUGUCGGCAUCCUCCUCCUCGGCAUCCUGAUCAUCGAUGUUGAGGCCGAGCUUGAGCAUGCGGUGGAUCCUGGCGGCGAAGGUGUUGGGGUCGUCGAGGCUGAAGCCGGAGGUGAGCAGCGCCGUCUCGAAGAGCAGCAUCACGAGGUCCUUGACGGACUUGUCGUUCUUGUCGGCGUCGGCGCGCUUGCGGAGCUCCUCCAUGAUGCCGUUCUCCGGGUUGAUCUCCAUCGUCUUCUUGGAGGACAUGUAUGCGCCCAUGCUGCUGUCCCUCAGCGCCUGCGCCUUCAUGAUCCGCUCCAUGUUGGCCGUCCACCCGUACUCGCCGGUCACCAGGCAGCACGGCGAGUCCACGAUGCGGUCGGAUACGACCACCUUCUCCACCUUGUCGCCCAGGAUGUCCUUGAUGAUCUUGCAGAGGCCCUCGAACGCCGCCUUUUUUUCUUCCUUGCGCUUCUUCUCCUCCUCGGUCUCCUCGUCGAGCUUGAGGCCCUCCUUGGUGGCGGAGACGAGCUUCUUGCCGUCGUACUCCUUGAGCUGCCCCACGGCGUACUCGUCGAUGGCGUCCACCAUGAAGAGCACCUCGUAGCCGCGCUUCUUGAGGCGCUCCAGGAAGGGCGAGUUCUCCACGGCCUUGCGGCUCUCGCCGGUGAUGUAGUAGAUGUCCUUCUGGCCCUCCUUCAUCCGGGUGACGUAGUCCUUGAGGCUGGUGAGCUCGUCGCCGCUCUUGGUCGAGUGAUACCGGAGCAGGUCGGCGAGCUUGGCUCGGUUCUGGGAGUCCUCGUGCACGCCCAGCUUGAGGUUCUUGGAGAAUGCCUCGUAGAACUUGGCGUAGUCCUCCUUGUUCUCGGCGAUCUCGAAGAAGAGCUCGAUGCACUUCUUGACGAGGUUCUUGCGGAUGACCUUGAGGAUCUUGUUCUGCUGCAGCGUCUCGCGGGAGAUGUUGAGGGGGAGGUCGUCCGAGUCGACGACGCCCUUGACGAAGCCCAGCCACUCCGGGAUGAGCUCCUCGCAGUUGUCCAUGAUGAAGACGCGGCGCACGUAGAGCUUGAUGUUGUUCAUCUUCUUGCGGGUGUCGAAGAGGUCGAAGGGGGCGCGGCGGGGCACGAAGAGCACCGCCUUGAACUCCAGCUGCCCCUCCACCGAGAAGUGCUUCACGGCGAGGUGGUCCUCCCAGUCGUUGGUGAUGCUCUUGUAGAAGGACGCGUACUCCUCCUUGCUGAUCUCCUCCGGCUUGCGCAGCCAGAUGGGCUUCUGCUUGUUGAUCUGCGCCCACUCGUGGCUCACCUCCUUCACCUUCUUCGUCUUCUUCUUGCUCUCGUCCUUGUCCUUGUCAUCGUCGACCUCCUCGACCUCGCCUUCCUUCUUCUCCUCGGAAGCGUCUUCGUCUUCGUCGUCGCUGAUCUCCUUCUCGGUGGUCUUCUCGGUCCAGAGGUAGAUGGGGUAGCUGAUGAACUCCGAGUGCUUCUUGACGAGGUCCUUGAGGCGGCGCUCCUCGAGGUACUCGAGCUGGUCGUCCUUGAGGAAGAGCGUGAUCUUGGUGCCGCGGCCGAGCCGCUCGCCCUCCGUGUCGAGGGUGACGGUGAAGGAGCCGCCGGCCUGCGACUCCCACACGUACUGCUCGUCGUCGUUGUGCUUGGUGGUGACCACCACCUUGUCGGCGACGAGGUAGGCCGAGUAGAAGCCGACCCCGAACUGGCCGAUCAUGCUCACGUCCGCGCCCGCCUGCAGCGCCUCCAUGAACUCCUUGGUGCCCGAGCGCGCGAUGGUGCCCAGGUUGUUCACAAGGUCUGCGGCCACGGCAAACAAUCAUAAGAGAUUUGGUCAUCGUCAUCAGAUCAGAGGCAAAUGGAAGUUCAGUCUGAAACUCUAGAUUAGUUGUCGUCAGACAUUCAGACAUUCAGCAACGACUGAACAUUUAAAUUCAGGCAGACAUUCAGCAACGAUGACACCUCUAAAUUCAGGCAGACAUUCAGCAACGAUGACACAUCUAAAUUCAGACAGACAUUCAGGGAUUCAGCAACAAUAGCACAUAAUGAAUUCAGCCACCAUCCAUGAUUGAUGGAUUGAGAGUGGAAGAGGAUGCGGCCAUAGAUAGAUAGAUAGAUGGAUACCUGACUUGGUCAUGCCGACGCCGCUGUCGAUGAUGGAGAGCGUCUUGUUGGCCUUGUCGGGGACGAGGCGGAUGAAGAGCUCCGGCUGCGCGUCGAGCUUGCUCUUGUCUGUCAGGCUCUCGAACCGGAUCUUGUCAAGCGCCUGCAAGCAAAGCAUCAUUGGGUGUGAGCAAAUCAAGCAACAAAUGAAUCAUCUCUGACUCUGACGACGAACGAACAGACAAGGCAGAGAAGCAGAGGAAACAGAGCAAGGAAGGAACAGACAGAGGAGGAAGGAAGGAAGAGAGGAGAACAUACGUCUGACGAGUUUGAUAUGAGCUCGCGGAGGAAGAUCUCCUUGUUGGAGUAGAAGGUGUUGAUGAUGAGCGAGAGCAGCUGGUUGAUCUCCGCCUGGAACGCGAAGGUCUCCGUCUCCAUCUGCACGUCCGACGCCAUUGCCGUCUCCGCUGCCACUUCUCGAAGGGAAAUUGGGGGAAGAUGGCUGGGUGGGCUGCUGAUUCCUCGGCCGAUUCGCUGCGUUGAUUGCUCUGAUCGCUUGCUUGUCGCGCUGCGGGAAGAGGUUUGGGGACAGACAGAUUGACGAACAGGUGGCGGGCGGGAGGAUUUAUACCCCGGAGAUGGGAUCGCUAGGGGCCUUCGCAGGUGUUCUGGUGCCUUCCACGGAUUACCGGCACGAGCUCCGGCGCGCGUUCGCGGGCGUUCCCGAAGCUUCUUGUGGUCUCUCCCCCCUCCCGCUCCGUUGGUGCGGAGAGCGGCGAGGCGGUCGCCUUGGCCUGCCCGAGCCUUGUCCCGAAGCUUCUACAUACUACAAUGGACCUUAGCAGAAAUGGGGAGGCUGCUAUAUCUCGCUUGUACGCACGCGUAUGGGCCGGCCCAGGAUGCCCAAACCAGAAAGCAAAAGUGAAUAGGUGGUAGAGGGUGUGUGUGUUGCUGUGUCAAAUUGAGAUUGUGUGGGCGUUCGCUCAAGUUCGACGCCAUCAAGAAUCAUCAUUGGACGGAUGCCCACCCCUCAAAAAUAAAAAAUAAAACCAUUGGAUGGAUGCCCGGGCGUUGAGAAGGCGGGGCGCUCUUGGAUGCGGAGAGAACAAUGCCAAAGAGAACUCGGCAAAUGACCUCGUAAGUUCGGGUUUCUAUCGGGGCUUCCUUUAAUUUCUUGCCGCUUUCUACGCGAGCAUCUUGUAAAAUACAUGGGUAACUUAUGUUAAACAUAAGACAAGCGUUUUUACAAUGCGUGAUGAAACUAUUUUUAAUAUGGCAUGCAUUUUCUAUAUACACAUGGACCAUUUUAAUAUGAGAUUAACAUGUUUUCGUACAUUACAAGCAUCCGUUAAGUUCAUGAAAAUUUUUUGAGACAUGAUGAACACAUUAUAAGUUCACGAUGAACAUUCUUAACACACCAUUUAAGUACAUUCUUUAAGACAAUUUGAACAUUUUUAAUACACGUGUCAACAUUUUGUCAAGACAAGAUGACUUGAACGUUUUUACUUUAACAUCUUUCUACAUUAUUGUUCGUGAUGUUCAUCGAUUUCAAUAGAAACACAAAAAAGUGUUCAUGAUGCUUUUAUAAAGGUUCGUGAUGUUCAUUGAUUUCAAUAGAAACAUGAAUUAUUGUUCAUGAUAUUUCUUAAUGUUCAUUGAUUCGAAUUAGUGUUCAUUUAAAUGUUCGUGAUCUUCAUUGAUUUCAAUAGAAACACGAAUUAGUGUUGAUGAAAUUUUUAAAAAAUGCUAAAAAAGGAAAAAAAUAUGUUCGUGAAUUUCAAAAUUUGUUCCCACAUUUCAAAAAAACUUCGCCAGUUCAGAAAAUGUCUCCGAUUCAAAAAUAAUGAAUUCAGAAAAGUGUUCAUGCAUAUGAAAAAAAGUUCAUCAAACAAAGUGUUCAUGAUUUUAAAAAAUUGUACGCCGAUUUCAAAAAUAUUCACGAGUUCAAAAAAAUGUUUGCAAUUUCAGAAAAAACAUUCAUGAAUUUGUAAAGAAGUUCAUGAAUUCAAAAAAUGUUCAUGAUUUCGAAAAAUAUUUGAAAAACUUGAAAAAAUGUUCAUGAUUUAAAAUCAAGUGAUCAAGAAUUUGAAAAAGUACUCAUGAUUUUAAAACAAAUGUUCACAAAUGACGCAUUACAAGUCCUUAGUAUGAGAAUCAUAUUCGAGGAAGAGACACACAAGGAUUCUCGAAGAGAAAGGAGCUGCUCUAGAGGAUCUAAUCCUCAACGAAGAGCCAGGCGCUGAAUUUGAGAUCAUCAAGGCAUUCAAACCAAUCGGUUAUUGCCGGUGUCUUUUCUUCUUUUCAACAAAAUUCCCUUUCCUUCUCGUGUUGGCGGCGCCGCCGAUUCGCCCCACCUUCGAUGGCCUUUGGGCCGUGGAGGUGCGGAGGACCCCCUCCCCCCCCGCCCCCGCCGCGCUACGAGAGGGACCCCGUUCUCUUUUUUGUUAGAUACAACAUCUUGGUUGGGGCUGUGUGGUGGUGAUGAUGUCCCUUAGUAGGAAUAAUGUUUCCCACGUCCUAUCCCCCGCCCCAAUGGUGCGAAUAACAUCGUCGGAGGAUGUGUGGAGGUGUGUCUCCGCUGGACCUCACGGAUUCGGUCGGUGUUAGUCUUCGAUGGAUCUGUUUGGAUCUAGUUCAUCUUCGAUCUACAACUCUCUUCAUCGGCGAUGAUUACUGCUCUGAUGCGAUGGUCCUUUGGGGCCUUAGCACGACGACUACCCCACUGUCUACUACAAAAAGAUUUGCCCGGCUUCAGUGAGGGAGUGGGGAUGACGGCGGCGCGCCUUCAGCACACUCGAGUGCUUAUAGUCGUCGCUAGAUGGUCCAUGUACUUGGUUGUGAUUUUAAUUACCUCUAGUGUUCUUUGUAUGACAUGAUUGAUGAAUAGAUUGAAAAAUUUUCUCGCAAAAGAAAGGCAUUCAAACCAAGCGAAGAAUGCACUCCUACAAAAGGAUCUAAUUAUUUUUACCUGAUUCCUAUCAAAUCUCAAUGCCCGUAAUGAUGCACACUGUUGCCCACCAUUUGUGUGGAGACCAUCUCAAUUAUCACCAUCUCCCAAACUGGAUUUUGUUUUCUAAAAUUUAGGUUAAACCAGGUACAUAUUUUAUUUUUUUAAAGUAAAAUGUGAAAAGUUUGCAUGGAAAACGAUUUUUGAAAAAAAAAGGAGCAAAUGGUGGUAGAUUGGACAAAUCGUGCUCAAGAAGUUUUUGGGCCAACAAUAAUGCCUAGUAGAUCAAAAGUUGACUCCGGAGAUGGGCCCAGGCAAAGAGUGGGCUUUCAAGGUUCCGCUAGGGUUUAACGCCCUCGACGCCGCCGCACGCUCCGAAGGAGAAGAAAAGAAAUGGCAUCCUUGGCCCGCGCCGCCGCCACCGCCGCCAGAGCGGCCCUCCGCCCGGCGCCCCUCGCCGGCCGGGGCCUCGGCCUCGGCUCCUCCCUGCCGUCUUCCUCCCCCGCACGGGCCGCCCGAAUCCUCCGCAGGUAUGCUGUCCAGUAGUCAGUAGAUGAGUGGAUCGAUGGGCGUGGCUGUGUGUGUGACAUCGAGGUUUCCUGCAGGUCGGCGGUGGCGGGGCUGGAGACGCUGCUGCCCCUGCACACGGCGGUGGCGUCGGCGCGCCUCAAGUCCUGCAUCGCCGUCGACUCCACCUGCUGGUGCUCCCUCUCCCAAGGUACCAAACCCGCGCGGCGCCUUAUCCACCCCCCUUUCAGUUUUUCUGGUUAUCCACAUUUGCACUAGUUGAAUGUGUCAGCCUCAGAUUAAUUUAUAUAUCCACCAAGAACAACCCUGUAAAAUCCUGGAGUUUGACAGUUACAACUGAGUACAAUGUUGAGCGGUGUGUGGUAUUACAUUCCGAUGGGGAAUAGCUGUUAUCGACAUGCAAACCUGCACACAAGAGAGUGAAUCCUGUUGAUGCUACAUGGUUUAUGAGGUUCGAUAUGGAAAUGCGGUGUUGCUGUGGAGGGAUUCAGUUACUGACAUGCAUAAUAGUUGAAUAUACGGCGGUGAGAAGUAUUGUUCAUUCUUAGUCGAGACUAAAUUGCCAAGUUUGUAAACCUUUAUAUCUGUGAGUGAUAUAUAAUGAUCCCUUACCCUAUAAUGAUAAGAUUCUAGAACACCUUGAGGCUAGCUGUUCGUUAAUACCUGCUGGUUGUUACUAUCGCUCUUUUUUAUGAAGGCAGUUAGUAUUUAACAUCUAUCGUUUCAGCGCCAAGCGACCAAACAAUGUUUUGUUUCUGGUCAGUUAGGAUGAUUCGUCCGCUUCUAUCCAUUGUCCUCAACUAAUUCCGUGUAUUAGUUCAUGUUUGGUUAAUUUUAUAGUAUGUGGGACCAUGUGUUUUCUUUGCUUGACUUUAUCUAUCAGUGACAGCAUAUUCAUGGCACUAUGCAGUUUUAGUAAGCUGUGUGCUUCAUAGUAGAAAAAUCAAUUCAAAAUGUUGUACUUCUUGAUCUUCAUAAGUCUGAACAGUUAAGGAUCGAUGAAGAAUGAACUUGAUUGGCUUAGUUUUCCCAAUUGCAGUAGUGUCAGAUCCUUGGUUUUCAUGAUCUAGAUACCUGUAUAUUUCAUAUCUUUUUACUUGACGAUUUUUGUCAUAUUUCUUGGAACGGAUCCAUGGGCACCUUACACUUUGGAUUUGAGCGAGUAGUUUUUGGUUGUUGUGAUAUCCGGAUGGUUACCUAAGAAUAUCCAUUUUGUAUCACUUUACCUAGAGACAACACCAAAAGUAACAUCUGCAACCCUUUGUGUGUUUCCUCAUUCACAUAGUUAAUUUUACUUUUCCUACCACCUGUCCCCUCCUAACAGUUCUCACCAUGCUCUCUCUUGUACUUCACCCAAUCACUCCCCAACUAGAAUUCCAGGUGACAUGGCAGGAAAACGGUAGCCUACGUAGCCUAUGUUAUAUACUGAGGUUGACGAGCUAUAUGGCAUGUUUACAUUAAGAAUUUUGCCAUGGUAGAGUAGUAAUUGUGAUGUUCCUGGGCUCCAUCAAACAAAUAUGUCAUCCUGUCCCGGCAGCAAGGAUAGUAUUUUCAAGUCUUAUGCCCCCAAAUGUAGUUCUCAGUAAUGCAGGUCACUCGUUUAACUUUUGACAGCUGUUUCUCUUUUGGUGUCAGUAAUGCAUAUAAGAUGCUGCUAGUUUUGUGUGUCAGUAAUACAUACUCCUUUAUUCAACCAGGAAAUAUCAAAUUGAUCAAUUAAUGCUACUAAGUGAAUUGAAAUGGUUAUUGUCCAUUGUUUCCUUUUGAAAAGGAUUGGGGUAUUUAUCUAUUGACUAUGGUUGUUAUAGGUUUUAAAAAGCGCGUCUGAUCAUGGUUAGGAGCUGUGCAGCUGAGAAGUGAAGACACCGAGUUAGUGCAUUUGUUUGCUGAUAGUUCUUAGACAUGUGUCCCAUCUAUUUUGCCAUUGCUCUCGAUGAAUGUACUCUUAACAAAAUAAUGCAUACUGUUUUUUGUGUGUCAUAUACUGAAUAUUGUGGUCUUGCUUGGCAGACCAGAGUCCUUUUAUUCAACCAGUAAUGCAUAUCAAAAUGUUAGUUUUGUGUGCCAGUAAUAACAUAUUGAAUAUUGACAUCUUGCUUGGUAGACUAGACUCCUAUACAGCGAGGAAAUAUCGAAUUGAUCAUGUCUAGUUACUAAGUGAGUUGAACAUGAGAUGUUUGUGGUUGGCACCAAGUGAAUUGAAAUGCUUAUUCUCCGUUUUUUCUUAUCGGAAAGGAUGGGGUAUUUAUCUAUUGACUAUGGUUGUUAUAGGUUUUAAAAAGCGCAUCUGAUCAUGGUUAGGAGCUGCACAGCUGAGAAGUGAAGACACCGAGUUAAAAACAAAGUGCAUCUGUUUGCCGAUAGUGCCUAGAAUAUGUAUCACAUCUAUUUUGCCAUUGCUCUCAGUGAAUGUACUCUUAUAACAAAAUAAUGGAGCAUGCCACAAGUUGCCCCCUUGUCUCUGGGACAUUGUUUUUUUGUUGAGCCUGGAAAAACCUUGGAA
rnacentral:lncRNA from 1 species